ensembl:lncRNA
GUUUUGAUGGAGGCUGCUGGGUAAUUCUGAUGGAGGCUGCUGGGUAAUUCUGAUGGAGGCCGCUGGGUGGUUUUGAUGGAGGCUGCUGGGUAGUUUUGAUGGAUGCUGCUGGGUGGUUUUGAUGGAGGCUGGGUGGUUCUUCCCCUACCUGUCCUCUCUCACUCCCUCCUCUUCUUGAUGUUCCGUUUGGAUAACUGUCUCCCAUCAGGCUACUAGUCUAGUGUAGAAUGGAGGGAGGGAGGGAUAGUUCUUUAAGCCUGUAGAAUGGAGGGAGGGAGGGAUAGUUCUUUAAGCCUGUAGAAUGGAGGGAGGGAGGGAUAGUUCUUUAAGCCUGUAGAAUGGAGGGAGGGAGGGGUAGUUCUUUAAGCCUGUAGAAUGGAGGGAGGGAUAGUUCUUUAAGCCUGUAGAAGGGAGGGAGGGAUAGUUCUUUAAGCCUGUAGAAUGGAGGGAGGGAGGGAUAGUUCUUUAAGCCUGUAGAAUGGAGGGAGGGAGGGAUAGAGAGAUGAACAAUAAAGGAGUGAAUGAAGCAGAGGGGUGCCUGGAGGAGUGUAAAAACAUCUUAUCCCUCUCUCCCUGGCCAUCUGGUUGUUUGUUUGUGCUGGUGCAGAAAGUGUGUGUGUGUGUG